rnacentral:tRNA from 1 species
GGGGAUGUAGUUCAGUGGUAGAGCAUUCGACUGCAGAUCGAGAGGUCCCUGGUUCAAUCCCGGGCGUCCCCU